rnacentral:rRNA from 1 species
UUGUCUUUUAAUUGAAGACUGGAACAAAAGAUUAAACAAUUUAAUUAAUAUAUUAAAACUUAAAUUUAUUUUUUAUGUAAAAAAACAUUUAUAAAUUAGGAAGACGACAAGACCCUAUUAAACUUAACUUAAGUUAAACUGGGGCAGUUAAUCAAUUAUUAUUUUAAUAAAUAUAWAAKAAYAAAAGAUCCAAUAAAAUUGAUUAYAYGAUCAAGUUACUAUAGGGAUAACAGCGCAAUAUUAAUCUAAAGAUCUUAUUUAAAUAAAAGAUUACGACCUCGAUGUUGAAUUAAUAAACUARUUAUCGCAAUAGAUAAAUGAAGUAAGUCCGUUCGACUUUUAAAAAAUUACA